rnacentral:lncRNA from 1 species
AUUGCAGCCUCUAGGGUUUUCUCUUGUGCCAGCAAGAAUAAUGAAAACCUUAAUGGACCUCAAACCCUAGUUAUGUAUUUAUAUAAACCCAAACAAGCUCGGCCCGGUCCGGUCCAAUAAUUAAUUAAUCCAAUUAAUUAAACCCGGUCCGUGAAUUAAUUAAUCCAAUUAAUUAAUUCGAAAAUAUAAAUAACAAAUUCAAUUAAUUAAUUUAUUCAACGAUUGUUAAAUUAACCAAUUGGCAAUUUGCAAUCUUCCAAUUCUCUUUUGUGUGUGACCCAUUAG